UACGUAGGGGGCAAGCGUUGUCCGGAAUCAUUGGGCGUAAAGCGCGUGUAGGCGGUCCGGUAAGUCCGCUGUGAAAGUCGGGGGCUCAACCCUCGGAUGCCGGUGGAUACUGUCGGGCUUGAGUACGGAAGAGGCGAGUGGAAUUCCCGGUGUAGCGGUGAAAUGCGCAGAUAUCGGGAAGAACACCCGUGGCGAAGGCGGUUCUCUGGGACGGUACUGACGCUGAGACGCGAAAGCGUGGGGAGCGAACAGG
rnacentral:rRNA from 1 species